CCUACGGGAGGCUGCAGUGAGGAAUAUUGGUCAAUGGACGAGAGUCUGAACCAGCCAAGUAGCGUGAAUGAUGACUGCCCUAUGGGUUGUAAACUUCUUUUAUAUGGGAAUAAAAUGUUCCACGUGUGGGAUUUUGUAUGUACCAUAUGAAUAAGGAUCGGCUAACUCCGUGCCAGCAGCCGCGGUAAUACGGAGGAUCCGAGCGUUAUCCGGAUUUAUUGGGUUUAAAGGGAGCGUAGGUGGAUUGUUAAGUCAGUUGUGAAAGUUUGCGGCUCAACCGUAAAAUUGCAGUUGAAACUGGCAGUCUUGAGUACAGUAGAGGUGGGCGGAAUUCGUGGGGUAGCGGUGAAAUGCUUAGAUAUCACGAAGAACUCCGAUUGCGAAGGCAGUUCACUGGACUGCAACUGACACUGAGGCUCGAAAGUGUGGAUAUCAAACAGGAUUAGAUACCCCCGGUAGUC
rnacentral:rRNA from 1 species